rnacentral:rRNA from 1 species
UACGGGGGGAGCAAGCGUUGUUCGGAUUUACUGGGCGUAAAGGGCGCGUAGGCGGCCACCGCAAGUCAAUUGUGAAAUCUCCGGGCUUAACUCGGAAAGGUCAACUGAUACUGCGGGGCUAGAGUGCGGAAGGGGCAACUGGAAUUCUCGGUGUAGCGGUGAAAUGCGUAGAUAUCGAGAGGAACACCUGCGGCGAAGGCGGGUUGCUGGGCCGACACUGACGCUGAGGCGCGAAAGCUAGGGGAGCGAACG